rnacentral:rRNA from 1 species
AGUGAACGCUGGCGGUAGGCCUAACACAUGCAAGUCGAACGGCAGCACAGUAAGAGCUUGCUCUUCCGGGUGGCGAGUGGCGGACGGGUGAGGAAUACAUCGGACUCUACUUUUUCGUGGGGGAUCACGUAGGGAAACUUACGCUAAUACCGCAUACGACCUACGGGUGAAAGCAGUGGAUCUUCGGACCUUGCGCGAUUGAAUGAGCCGAUGUCGGAUUUGCUAGUUGGCGGGGGAAAGGCCCACCAAGGCGACGAUCCGUAGCUGGUCUGAGAGGAUGAUCAGCCACACUGGAACUGAGACAAGGUCCAGACUCCUACGGGAGGCAGCAGUGGGGAAUAUUGGACAAUGGGCGCAAGCCUGAUCCAGCCAUACCGCGUGGGUGAAGAAGGCCUUCGGGUUGUAAAGCCCUUUUGUUGGGAAAGAAAAGCAGCAGGUUAAUACCCCGCUGUUCUGACGGUACCCAAAGAAUAAGCACCGGCUAACUUCGUG